rnacentral:rRNA from 1 species
GACGAACGCUGGCGGCGUGGAUUAGGCAUGCAAGUCGAACGGUAUCAUCCUUUCGGGGGUGAGAGAGUGGCGAACUGGUGAGUAACACGUAGGUUAUCUACCCUCAAGACGGGGACAACCCAGGGAAACUUGGGCUAAUACCGGAUGUGAGCAACUUUUAGUUGUUUGAAAGGUGGCGUAAGCUGUCGCUUGGGGAUGAGCCUGCGCCCUAUUAGUUAGUUGGUGAGGUAACGGCUCACCUAGGCAAUGAUAGGUAGGCGGCCUUAACGGGUGGUCGCCCACACUGGGAUUGAGAUACGGCCCAGACUCCUACGGGAGGCAGCAGUCGAGAAUAGUCUACAAUGGUCGGAAGACUGAUAGUGCGACGCCGCGUGAACGAUGAAUCCCUUCGGGGUGUAAAGUUCUUUUAUAUGUGAGCAGUGCUUCUUAUAUUAACAGUAUGGGGAAGAGAUAUUAGCAUAUGAAUAAGCAACGGCUAACUCCGUGCCCAGCAGCCGCGGU